UGGGAUGGGACCCAGCCAGGUGAUGAGAAGGGGGGACACUGGUGGGCCCUGGGUUGACAGCGGCCGGAGCAGGGGGGAUGCCAGGAGGUCUGGCCCGGGUAUGAGGGGCCCCGAGGCCGGCGGCGGCCAGAGCAGGGGGGAUGCCGGGAGGUCUGGCCCGGGUAUGAGGGGCCCCGGGGCCGGCGGCGGCCCGGGCAGGGGGGAUGCCGGGAGGUCUGGCCCGGGCAUGAGGGGCCCCGGGGCCGGCGGCGGCCGGGGCAGGGGGGAUGCCGGGAGGUCUGGCCCGGGUAUGAGGGGCCCCGGGGCCGGCGGCGGCCCGGGCAGGGGGGAUGCCGGGAGGUCUGGCCCGGGUAUGAGGGGCCCCGGGGCCGGCGGCGGCCCGGGCAGGGGGGAUGCCGGGAGGUCUGGCCCGGGCAUGAGGGGCCCCGGGGCCGGCGGCGGCCGGGGCAGGGGGGAUGCCGGGAGGUCUGGCCCGGGUAUGAGGGGCCCCGGGGCCGGCGGCGGCCCGGGCAGGGGGGAUGCCGGGAGGUCUGGCCCGGGUAUGAGGGGGCCCCGGGGCCGGCGGCGGCCCGGGCAGGGGGAUGCCGGGAGGUCUGGCCCGGGCAUGAGGGGCCCCGGGGCUGGCGGCGGCCCGGGCAGGGGGGAUGCCGGGAGGUCUGGCCCGGGUAUGAGGGGCCCCGGGGCCGGCGGGGGGCCGGC